AUUGUUUAGUGUCUUCUCCAUUUUGUGGGUUGGAGACUGAGCGGUGGAGGCGACGAGCGGCGGCGGCCAGAAGCCAUGGAAUUCCUGAUGCAGUCGAUACGCGGAUCUACUUUCCUUGAGGAGGUUGGCGAGAGUACACUGCUGCCUCCCGCGGCAGCAGUUGGUGUGGUGAAGCGGGCACGGUCGCCGUUCCAUAAGGAGGCGGUGGAUAAACAAGUUCUGCAAGCGGGUGUGCUGGAGCAGGCACCGCCAUUGGGCGAACCCAUGGCAGCGGAUCUGGGUGCAGGGGAGGUAGUGCCGGCGGGUGCGAGCGCGGAAGGUCAGCUCUGGGCUGCAAGCGGAGCGGUGGAAGAAAGGAGAGAGAGCUCCCCCGCGGGCUCGGAGCUGUCAACUGGGAAGAUUACCCCUCGGGCUCCUGGAUGGAACAAAAGGCUAAGGAUUGGAGCUGCAGCACCUAGCAGAACACCUUGUCCCAAUCGCAUUAGUGCAUUUGAGAAGGCUGUUAGGGGUUUUGCUGACCACCCAACUGAGAAUGUGAUCAUCCCGGCUAUUGGAAGUUUGGAACUACAUUUGACUCAGUUGGUGAGGCGUACGAUUUCUACAACUUGUACUCGUGGGAGAAAGGCUUCGGUAUUCGAUACGGCAAGAGCCGCCUGAAUGUGGAGAGGAUAAAGUGCAUGCAAGAAAUAGUUUGUGGGUGCUCGGUGAGUUCAAGCUCUUGGUUGCUGGUACUCCUUAAAGAUUUCUGUCAUGCUUGAUCAGGGCGUGACGCCGUUGCUUUUAUUGAUAUACUCCCUCCAUCCCGAAAUAAGUGACUCAACUUUGUACUAACUCUAGUACAAAGUUAGUGCAAAGUUGAGUCACUUAUUUUGGGACGGCGGGAGUACAUGUUUGUCUCCUCUAUAGCAAACUUAUCAUAUGGUGUUCAGACUCAUGAAGUUAUAUGGAAAAUAAUGACUACCUCAAAUAAAACUAUCUAGUGGUAGUGGUACUAACAUGUCUAGAGUCCUUUAAAAAAAACAUGUGUAGAGUUACUUCUACGAGCUAUGCUCUUUGCAAAGCCAUUUCUUUGUUGAUUGUCGGGUGUUGGUUGUAUCUUCUUCAACUCUGUUAUUGAGAAUCUGGGCUGAUAAAAUGGCCAUUUCUUUCUUUUUCUCUUCUAUCGAAUGUGCCUCUUGUUCUCCUCUGUCAAACACGAUGAACUGGAGAUGCUUCUCUCUUGUUUGGUUGCUUUCGCUGUCUUCUCUUUUUGGGUUGUGGGAUAAAAAUUCCCUUCUAUUUCAGGAUGUGCUUCUUUGUAAACUCCAACCAGUUUACCUUCACUCAUGUUCUAUUUCUGUGGCACAUGGCACCGGGACAGACAAUUAAACCACCAAGAAAUGUGUUACAUUCUCAAGGUCAACGCGGUGGCCGGUGGGACACCUCUUAGUACUUCAACAUCUAAAUUUGUGCCACAAGUUCUCUGAUGUCUAGCGUUUUCUCAAGGAUGCCAAGUAUCCCAAGAUCUUUUGCAAGGGUUCAGGAGGUGAAGCUUGGGAGGUACUUUGUGAGGAAUGGGAGUGGUUUGUCUGAGCAGCUGCAAUGCAUAAUCCGAUAAGUGAAAAACAAGGCUAUGAAUGGGGGAGCUAGCAGCAGACAUGUACACCCAAGAUGACACCGUGGACAUCAAGGGAAAACCAGCCCUCAAGAACACCGCCAACUAGCGGUUUGACAUCCUCUGAUGCAGCCCGUACAUUAUCAAGUCCAGGCAACGGUAUCCGGUCAGCAACAGUUGCAAAUGCCGGCAUUAAGCAUGGAUGGCAAGAUCUGUGGCCAGAUGGCAUGGUGGAUGUUGGACGGCAAGGUUCACCACCGGCGUCGGAGCAGUCGGUAGGCGAGAUGGACCCUAAAGCUCCUAGGUAGAUGUGAAGGGAUGCAGGGAAUAAAUGGCGAAGGCGAAUAGUGGCUGUGGGAUGUAAUAAAUGAGCCCUGACGCCGUUGGAACAGAAUCUCUAGUUUAAUGGCCCAUGUUGUGACCACAGUUCAGAGCAGGCGUAGCCUUAACGGAUGGCGUUGCUUUUAUUGCUUGUCGGAUGUGGGCCAUCGGCUCUGAAAACUGACGAGAUACAUCAAUUAUACAAUAGCGUAUACGGGCUAGGUUGGCGAUCUGGGAGCGAACAGACGGGUGAGAAAACGAGCACAUAUGUGCUCGAGUGCAGAAUAGCACUUUCGGUGGAAUGUUUGCUACUUUUAUUUCUCUCAACACGCACACAUUCCACCCUCUACCUGUGGAUAUUAUGUGGGUUUGUAAUACUUUUCCGCCCUACGUGGGGUUUGCUGUAUCAAAUU